ensembl:lincRNA
CCCACUGUGCUGGUUGAAGUAGAUUACUUUUGCCGGCUCUUCCAAGUAACUAAAACAUCUAGUUUCCCCAACAGAGAUCCAUCCAGUAUUUUGGUCAGUCGUGCCUCAUGGUGUAUGUGAAAAACCAGUAGUUUAAAUGGGGAACUACGUCUGCUUCUGGAAUCCUACCAAGUGGGAUCUUGGAGCAGGUUACGCCGGAGGAAGCCUGCGUCACUUGCUGUAUGUGAAAGUGAAGUGUGAGGAAGUCGCCAUCAUCAGCUGGGGCCCCUGGGGCUUCUGAACUUACCGUCUGCCUCAACAGCCUGGAGUUUCUAAACUGCACGAAAAGCCCCAGCGAGUUGCCACCCAUCGCAGAUGUUGGAGCCCCGACUGUGUCCCACACCAGGAGACAGCAAUGAAGAAGAGAUGCACCUGCCCCACGGUGCAGAGGAUUCUGCCUGUCCCAGCCUCCAGCAUGGACCCACUGAAAUGAUCUGCGUGAGGCAUCUUACCUGCGUUUUGGAAACCAGGAUAUGUGGAGAUGCAGUUCACUUAGCUUCAUGGAGCUUUGGUGCCUGCCCCCGUGCCUGCACGGGCCUUGCAUACAGUGGGGUGUCAACAACGAGGUCUGGAAAGAAGGAGCACAAACCCAAGAGGACAGUGGUGCACAGAAGGAGCCGAUGCUGAGUGGGGGCAGGCCCCGCACUUCUUCCUGGGAUCUGAGGCCGCAGUGGCCCCAGAGCAGCUUGGACUUGUGGCCCCUGAGGGACCCUGUGUGCAGCGUGGCGUGAACAGCAUGGAUGGUAACAGCAGCUCAUCGUGUCAAGGAAGAAGCUAACAGACAGCCCUGCAAGGGGCAGUUUUUAGGGUGGUGGGGACCCACCGUGCCAGAUGCAGCUUUGAGGGUGGUGGGUACCUGCCUGUAGCCACCCCUCAGUGAGCUCUACACCUCAGCUGCACUUGCUAAGAUGAAUGAAACCCUGGGUUCAGAGCAGGGAGGGACCCGGCCCAUUGACUUCCAAACCCAGCUGCCUGUGCAUCUGUCACCAGGAACUGGGAACAGCAUUCCAGCCGCUGACUCUGGGCCCUGCCAGUCUGAAGUGGGGCCUGCCCAUCAGCAUUAGAAACGGGAGUCCCAGGCAAUUGUGAUGCAGCUGGUUCACGGACUGGGACUUGAGGAGCCAUUAAACUCAUCCAACAAUCUCAUCUCAUGUGUGGAGAAACUGAGGCUUGGAGCAGCUGAGUGAUUUUUCCAAAGCUGUGCACCCACAUACUCCCUGCCCUGUGUGUGCUCUGUCCACUGCCCCUUAAUUCCCGUGGCCAGUGCCGCUUGGGACAGCUUUGAGUCUCCACGUGCACGGCCUGGGCAUUGCAGGAGGCCAUCGAAUAGAUGAAGCUAGUGUUUAGAGGUCUUGCCCAUUUCAUGAUUUGUCUCAGGUCCCCGGUGGGUCAGGGUCAGACUCAGGGUCUGACUCCAGACGGUCUGGUUCAUCACCUGUUGAAUUCACCAGCUAGCUAAGGGACACUGGGUACCCUCAGCUGCACCCAGAGGUCCUCCGGAGAAAUCCAGAAAGCCUGUGGUCACUGGAGUGCUCAGGGAGACCUCCUCCAGUUGUUUUGCUGGCCGGGGC